rnacentral:sRNA from 1 species
AACAUGUUCAUGCCUGCUUCAAAGCCGGAUUUGGGUAAGAAAGGGAGGCUCCUGAAAAUGGAGAU